UACGAAGGGGGCUAGCGUUGCUCGGAAUCACUGGGCGUAAAGCGCACGUAGGCGGCUUUUUAAGUCAGAGGUGAAAUCCUGGAGCUCAACUCCAGAACUGCCUUUGAUACUGGAGAGCUUGAGUCCGGGAGAGGUGAGUGGAACUGCGAGUGUAGAGGUGAAAUUCGUAGAUAUUCGGAGGAACACCAGUGGCGAAGGCGGCUCACUGGUCCGGUACUGACGCUGAGGUGCGAAAGCGUGGGGAGCAAACAGG
rnacentral:rRNA from 1 species